UUUGCCGCCACAUCCUUUUGCCCUUUUUCCCUCUCAUUUGAAACACUACAAUCCUAUCCCCAUUCAACCAGCCUUGCAACUCGCCAUCUCCCUUAUCGGCAUGUCCUCUCCGACCAGCUCUUGCCAGUGUUUCCUCUCUCUGGCCAGCUUCUUGAUCGACGGCCCUCUCUUGCACUCCCUCUCAGGUAUGCUUUCCAUUCUCUCCACCUAUCGUCUCUUCCAAAAUUGAAAUCCUUAAAUGGAGACACAUUUCGACAUCUAUCCUCCCUUCAAAAAGUGAGCAUCAAUGAAUGUCAUUUGUUUAAGCUGCUGUGCCAGAGAGGGACAGGGGAAGAUUGGUCGUACAUCAAACACAUCCCUCUCAAAAUCAUAUACUGGGAAGACGUAUGAUUGAUAAUGCGGCUCAAAUUUUCUGAUCCAAAAACCACAAUGAGGAUUUAGGGGGAUUUUAAAGCAUAUGACAGCAAGCAUGGUGCUGCGAAUUGUAAUAUUACUGCAGCUAUUUGUAAGAUAUGUCUUUCAGCAGCUUGCACGCUUUGUUUCUCAUAUUCCACUUUGAUUGCAACUGCCAUUUCCUCAAAAAAUUAAUUAUUUACAAAAUCUUUGAUAGAUUUUUAAUCUGCCAUAUGAGAGUCCUGUUGUUUGAUAUCGAAAUGUGUCUCCAUUUAGGUAUGCUAUUUUUUAUUUUUUCCUUUCACUCUCUCUAUUUGUCCAUCUCCCAUCAGUUGUUUUAUUUGCGAGUCUCCAAGUAAUUUUGGGCAAAUUUCAAAAACUAGAAGCAAUUUUGGCCGAGAGUUUUUGUUUUUGCUGUUCAACCUUGCUUGGAUUUUGUUGUUGCUGAUUUCAAUUAUCUGCAGCAAUGUAGAAGAAAGCAAGAGUGUCAUGGAGUGUUUGCUUGGCUUGAUCGGUGAAAACAAUAUCAAUGUUGAUCAGAAGCUUAGACAUGACAUACCACGCCAUCAAGUUUGACAGGUGAUAUGUUCACUUUGUUGCACUGAACAAGAGGUUCAGCAAGUUCGUAUUAACUGUAAUCUAUGCAUGGGAAAAUACUUUUGUGAGACUUGCAAGCUAUUUGAUGAUGAUAUAUCUAAGAAACAAUAUCAUUGCAGUGGCUGUGGCAUUUGCAGGAUUGGAGGGCAUGAGAAUUUCUUCCACUGCUACAAGUGUGGUAACCUAUACUUGUGUUUUAUUUUUGUGUAAGUUCCUCUGUAUGGUGCUAUAUAAGAAAGAUGUAAACCAGAUGGGUGAAUUAUUUUCAAUUUAUCGUAGUUAUAUAGGUCACUUUAUUUAAUGUUAAGUAGUCAUGUGAAAUGUAAAACUAAAAACCCACAAAGUUUAGCAGAAACAGAGUUCUGUAGGACAAGCUGAUUUACAUUGAGAUGUUGGAGACGUGUGUUACUAAAGACUCCAACAUUAGUAAAGGCUUGACUGAUAGAUUUUUGUUAGUUCUCUUGCUUUCAAUUUAUUUGCACAUUGACAAACCAUCAGUGUAGUAGUCUAUCUGGAGGUGGAAGCCAGUAACCAUAGAGCUCUAAUGGGUUUUCUUGUUAGGUGUUCUUUUAGAAAUUAAGUUCUGGUUGCACGAAUUGAAGAUUUAUUAGCAUAUGCACCCUUGAACUAGCCAUUAGGAUAAAGAUUAAAACCAUUUUUGAAGUUGCAUGCACAAGAACAGGAGGAGGGGUUUGCUUUGGGUGAUCCUAUUUACUCCAAUUGAGUUUUUAUUUGUUAAAUCAAAUGCCAUCUAGGUGUUUUCCUUCCAACUUAUUCUUUUACUUUAUGUUUCUCUUUGUUUAAAUAUUUCUUUGUAGUGGAUCUGCAUGCUCAUAGUUAAGUUCCUUGAGGGCAAUGUAUAAAUUAAGUUAGGGGGUAGGAUGGUGUUAAAGAUGAAAAUAAUAAUAAUAAUAUUUAAAAAAUAAAGGUUAAGAAAAAUUUGUUUGUUAAGGCAUUUCUUACGUUAGUAAUAACUGUUUAGUUUAGGUAUUUGUAUUAUCCUUGGUUUAGAAUAAUGUCAUUUCAUGUUCUUGCUAAUUUUGCAUGUUAUUAUAGUGGCAAGUGUGGAAGAAAAUUUAGCGAGGUGGAAUUGAUCAUGCCAUUGGAGAUAGUUUCAUGUCAUAAUUAAAAAUAAAAAAUAAAAAAAAAUAAAAAAAGAAGAAGAAGAAGAAGAAAGAUGAUGUGAGCUUUGAGCCUAAUAUUCAUGUUCAGAGUUUAUUUUGUUGCCCAUUGUUUAUAAAAACUUAUUUCUUUUUGAGUGUUUUUGAUGUUGCUACAUUUUAA